GGUCAGUGAUGAUAAGUAAAAGGUCUGAUGGCACUUCAUUAAAUGCCCAUGUGUCUACUCGCUCCCAGGAGAUCCUUCAUUGUCCAUCCUGCUCAAGGUGUGCUGUGGUGGUUGUGGAGUUCCUGACAGAAACUUAUGCCACUGAUUUAGUUGACACUUCUGCUGAGGAAUUUGGAGUGUCUUUAUAAAGGGCAUCUCACAGAACCAAUAGCAUUGGGUGUCAUGGGCAUUUACCUCUGGUGCAUAUGACUGCAAGUUUUCAAGCUGAGACC